UCUGGUUUAUCACCAAGCGGUCCUAUUAGAGUACCCAACUGAAUGCUGGUAACUAACAGCGAGGGUUGCGCUCGUUGCGGGACUUAACCCAACAUCUCACAACACGAGCUGACGACAGCCAUGCAACACCUGUCUCCACGCCCCGAAGGGACCCCUCAUUUCUGAGGCUUUCGUGGGAUGUCAAGCCUAGGUAAGGUUUUUCGCGUAGCAUCGAAUUGAACCACAUGUUCCACCGCUUGUGCGGGCCCCCGUCAAUUUCUUUGAGUUUUAAUCUUGCGACCGUACUUCCCAGGCGGGAUACUUAAUGCGUUAGCUACGACACCGAGCCUAUUGGAAAACCCGACGUCUAGUAUCCAUCGUUUAGGGCGUGGACUAC
rnacentral:misc_RNA from 1 species